AAAAAAACAAACAGAAAGAACCCGCACGGCGCACGUUCUCCAUCUCCUUCCCCGACCUGUCUGUCUCCGUCCUCAGAUCUCAGCGCCUCCUUCCCCAUGUCCACCGGACGAGGCCCUCUCCAUCGGCCCUAUCCAGCGGACGGCCCCCUCUCCGGCGACCAGACGGGCGCUUCCCUUUACUCCCAUCAAUUUGGCAUCGCCCCGCCCAUGGAGCUUUCGCCAUGCCCGCCAGCGGCCAUGGUCGGGACCGACACCAUACUUGGAUGGAGAGGUCUGACAACGGACCAAUGCGACCGUGGUGGUCUGACCACGGCGGUGGAUGCGGCGACGGAGGUCUAGGAGGAGAGAUACGUGCGCUACAACUCUGAAGGCGGCGACGGAGACCAGGGAGGAGGAGAAGGAAAGGUAAGCCAGCUACACAGUGGGGGAGGUCGAGGAGACGAGGGAGAGGCACGCUCUCAGGUCUCGGCAGUGUGUGUAGGGUGCUCGCUAGAAUUCCCCACUCAUGGAAGCAGGCGAAGUAGCGCACCCUGCCACCGAACAUGACAGCUCUGAGUAUUGGUUAAGAAGAUUUCCAACGCCAAAUCUGGUAUCACCUUGCCCUUCUUUUCUAAUUUUGAAAAUAAUCGGAGAUGCCUGUGUCCUUAUCGUCUGUUUGGUUGACUUCGUGUUAGCGUCGUAGAAUUAAACUAAUUUAUUCAUAUGAUGUUGGUCAGUUUAGGAUAUUUAUUAUUUCCUUGGUGUUUGAUGUGUUGCUGCAUACCAGAACGAAGCUACAAAGGUGAACCAGCUAGCGAUGGUUGCAGGGAACAAGACAAUGGAUCCUCGUGAUGAGAGCAGAUGCGUACUGCUUGGUUUGGAUGGCAGAGGCAAACCAAAUAAGUGGGGUAAGGUUCUCUCAAAAAAAAAGUGGGGUAAGGAACACACACCACAUGGCCCAGAUGGUGAGCUCAUCUCCUCGCUUCUUUUAUUUUAUUUUAUCUGUGUGGAGUGAUGUGCUACAGCCUUAGUAAAAUAUCUCCAUAUCCAUACUCCUUAAAUCAGUUUAUGUUUGGUAGUGAUCUUUAAGGCUGUCUUCUUUCUAAUCUUGUUAGCGGGAAAAAUCAAGAAACAUUCCCUGAUAUUACAUAAUUGCAAACUUAUUCAGUGUCUGGUGCAGUUCUAAUCUCAUAUUGUUACUGAUGAAGAACUGAAAACACUGCAAGAUGCGAUGGAAGAGAAACUCCAGGGCAAGUGACAACUUAGCCGAGACUUAAGACCCCAUGAUCGUCAUUUUGCACUUAAGACACAGAACCACCAGAAAGUGUUCUCCCUUAUGUAUCAUGUUGUCAUGGGUGAUGAUCCAGAGGUGAAGGGUAAUGUAGUACCCAGUCUGUUUAAUCUUUGAACGUGCACCAUCAGGUGUAGCAACAAAAAGAAUGCUGGAAUGUAAAGGGUCACAGCAGUUACAUUUGCACAACAUUUCUGCCUUUUGGUUAUGAGGUAAAAACUACAAACUAUUUCUUUACAAAGAAUCUGACCAAGUACUCACUUCCCUGUUGGAUUUCAGUUUCACGGAAUAGAUUAUUUAUAUGACUGGGAGGUUCAAGUGACGGACCACAAUUUUGCAGGGUGAUAUACUUAGGCAAAGCUAGAAUUUUUGUUUGGGUUAGUGUUAACCGUUGAGCAGUUUUGUUGUGUCCACCUUGGUGAUUGCAAACCACUGCAUACUUCAAUAAAGACUGCCACAUCAAUUUUGAUGUGUGCAGGGCUCUUCUACUUCUCUUUGUUCUCAAAGAAUUUUGUACUGUAGGCUGUACUACUGAAUUUCAGGGUCGCAGCAGCAAGGGUGAGGUGGAGUGCGGGGAAUGCAGGCAUAGGCAAGAUGUUGCGCUGAGGUUACCAGCUACACAUGCAUCACUGCCUCCAGUCAAAUUUGGGCGACUGGCAUUUCGGAAAAAUAUUCAAAAGAUCAUGCUGGGGCAUGCGACGACACCUCACGCAUUGACACCAAGUAAAACCUAUAUCGGAUGCCAAGGAGGUAUAACGGUAAAGAAAUAGUGGAAGAGAAACGAAAGAACCCAUUUAAAGAUAGGUUGUUUUAUGGAAAUUAUCAAGAUUAUGUAUCCUUGCAGUUGUAUUGCUACUACCGAAGUUCAUUUUUUCAUGCCCAACUUCUAUCGUUCUUGCGUACAUGUCUGAAAACACACAUGCUUGCAGUAUUACUCAUUGGGUUUCCUUUCUCAGUCAAA